rnacentral:lncRNA from 1 species
GUGAAAGUUUACGUUAGCCCGCCGUAUUCGAGCCUCGCAGAAUUCUGACUGGGUCAACACUGAGACGGCAGCGCCGAUAAAACUGUGUACAACUAUAUUUCGGGUUGCUGACCUGUCGGCUUGUUUCGGACUCGAGCCCUAGACAAAUAACAUGGUCGUGCCAGCGUGACGGUCAUCUCAGGGACAGGAACAGGUUACACACACUUGUGCCUCAAGUGACGGCAAUUACCACAAACACAAAAAGACGGAAAACACGUAUUCUGAGCUGCAGGACGCGAGAUCUUAAUUCGAGGACCAUCGUGAAUCAAAGCUCAAAACACACGAGCCAGAACAGUAACUUGAUUCAACAGCUCACGCAGCUUAGUACGUCUUGGACGUAGUGCACUUUGCUGUUCAAACACGUGCAUUAGCUGAGACUCGUCCCACAGCAGGUGAAUCACCUGAAACGCGAAGGUUUCGUUUCAGUCUGUUUCCUUACUUAGGAACUUGCACUGCAUCUUUCACCAGUCGAGAACGACUAUUUUGUGGAUGUUAGUAUUCUUUUGAGCAAAUUCGGUACUGUGGCGGCAUCAGCGAGACUUUACAGCGGCGAACAGGUGGAUCUCCCGCUAAGGUGGGGAGUACGCCCGUGAGAGGCGCCGGCGAUAGACAUCUCUCAUGUCGCGUGAUUCGUUUGUUUCAAACACCGUGAGGAUGCAGUUAACACCUAAUCGCCCGUUCUAGAGGGGUUGUAGGGCGGUGGUUGAGGUGGGGCUGAAGAGUGGCCCAAACGUUGUUUAGUUGUUUAUCUUAACCUCUUUGCUAGGACCAGGUGUGUCUGAUCUGGAACCUUGACACCAUAGGCUUCUUCCCGCACACCGUGCUACAGUGACAUCUGGACCUGUGGGUUUGGAACGAGCUGGUGUCCAUGCCCACCACGGUUCCGUUGGACCGGGGUGCUUAUGGAGUGUGAUGGCUGAACAAGGCGGCGGCCAGGAAUACGCAAGGUCAUCAGUCGGAAUGGACUGCUGCACUGAUCGAG